UGCAGAUUCACAUCAUUCACCAAGUGUAUAGACAUCAGCAUGGUAGAAAAUAUGCAGCGGGAAGGUCGUUUUACGGACUCGAAAGGUCGGUCGUUUUACGGAGUUUCCAAUCAUCAUAUUCUUAGAAGAAAGGGCGCGUUCUGCCAACUUGGUCGAGGCAGAUUUCAAGUGUGAACAAGCUACCACUGAUGUUCUAAAGUGCCUGAAUGACAUGUGUAGCUUGUGAGGAGCCCUUGAAGAUGUGAUGUUGGAUCAAUAUAUUGAUAUUAAUCGCAAUUUGUAAUGACAA